rnacentral:misc_RNA from 1 species
GUAGGUGAACCUGCGGAAGGAUCAUUAACGAACAAAAGGUUUACUUGUUUUAAACCUUUUGGGAUCAACCAAAAACCUGUAACAAGUAUUCAAUAUACUGAAUACAUUUUAAAUAAAUAUUACAAAACUUUCAACAACGGAUCUCUUGGCUCUUGCAUCGAUGAAGAACGCAGCAUCUGACUGACUCGUUGCCUCGUUAUCUCGU